rnacentral:rRNA from 1 species
CUGUAGGCGGUUUGUCGCGUCGGGAGUGAAAACCUCGGGCUUAACUCGGGCUUGCUUUCGAUACGGGCAGACUGGAGGUAUGCAGGGGAGAACGGAAUUCCUGGUGUAGCGGUGAAAUGCGCAGAUAUCAGGAGGAACACCGGUGGCGAAGGCGGUUCUCUGGGCAUGACCUGACGCUGAGGAGCGAAAGUGUGGGGAGCGAACAG